rnacentral:rRNA from 1 species
AUUGAACGCUGGCGGCAUGCUUUACACAUGCAAGUCGAACGGCAGCGGGGAGGAGCUUGCUUCUCUGCCGGCGAGUGGCGACCGGGUGAGCAAUACAUCCGAACGUGUCGAGAAGAGGGGGAUAACCACCCGAAAGGGUGCCUAAUACCGCAUAAAUUCUGAGGAAGAAAGCUGGGGACCUAGGAAUAGGCCUAGCGCUUUUUGAGCGGCCGAUGUCGGAUUAGCUAGUUGGUGAGGUAAAGGCUCACCAAGGCGAAGAUCUGUAGCGGGUCUGAGAGGAUGAUCCGCCACACUGGGACUGAGACACGGCCCAGACUCCUACGGGAGGCAGCAGUGGGGAAUUUUGGACAAAGGGGGCAACCCUGAUCCAGCCAUGCCGCGUGUAUGAAGAAGGCCUUAGGGUUGUAAAGUACUUUUGUUAGGGAAGAAAAGUAAGCUGUGAAUAAUGGCUGAUACUGACGGUACCUAAAGAAUAAGCACCGGCUAAGUACGUG